rnacentral:rRNA from 1 species
GAUGAACGCUAGCUACAGGCUUAACACAUGCAAGUCGAGGGGAAACGAUGAGAGAGCUUGCUCUCUUAGGCGUCGACCGGCGCACGGGUGAGUAACGCGUAUCCAACCUGCCCAUUACAGGGGAAUAACCUUGCGAAAGUAAGACUAAUGCCCCAUGGUAUUCUCAGCAGACAUCUAAUGAGGAUUAAAGAUUUAUCGGUAAUGGAUGGGGAUGCGUCUGAUUAGCUUGUUGGCGGGGUAACGGCCCACCAAGGCGACGAUCAGUAGGGGUUCUGAGAGGAAGGUCCCCCACAUUGGAACUGAGACACGGUCCAAACUCCUACGGGAGGCAGCAGUGAGGAAUAUUGGUCAAUGGACGAGAGUCUGAACCAGCCAAGUAGCGUGCAGGACGACGGCCCUAUGGGUUGUAAACUGCUUUUAUAGGGGAAUAAGGUGAUCCACGUGUGGAUUAUUGUAUGUACCCUAUGAAUAAGGACCGGCUAAUUCCGUGCCAGCAGCCGCGGUAAUACGGAAGGUUCGGGCGUUAUCCGGAUUUAUUGGGUUUAAAGGGAGCGUAGGCCGUAGAUUAAGCGUGUUGUGAAAUGUAGAUGCUCAACAUCUGACUUGCAGCGCGAACUGGUUUACUUGAGUGUGCGCAACGUAGGCGGAAUUCGUCGUGUAGCGGUGAAAUGCUUAGAUAUGACGAAGAACUCCGAUUGCGAAGGCAGCUUACGGGAGCACAACUGACGCUGAAGCUCGAAGGUGCGGGUAUCAAACAGG